rnacentral:rRNA from 1 species
UAGACCCUAUCGAACUUAACUGUAGUUAAACUGGGSCAGUAAAUUAAUUAUUAUUUUAAUAAAAUAUUUUAUAUAAAUAUCUAAUAAAAUUAAAUAAUUCAGUUACCAUAGGGAUAACAGCGUAAUAAUUUUCUAAAGAUCUUAUUUUAAAUAUAGAUUACGACCUCGAUGUUGAAUUAAUAACCUAAUUAAGGCAAAACUUAAAAAAGGAAGUCUGUUCGACUUUUAAAAAAUUACAUGAUUUGAGUUCAGACCGGUGUAAGCCAGGUCGGUUUCUAUCUUCUAAAAAAUUUUUUACAGUACGAAAGGACCUAAAA